ACAAGUUCAGCUACAGCAGAGACACGUCUGCUGCAACAAUGACUCUAACAGGGCAGAAUAUGCAGCCUGAAGACACUGCUGUGUAUUACUGUGCUAGAAUAUGGAG